rnacentral:rRNA from 1 species
GACGAACGCUGGCGGCGUGCCUAAUACAUGCAAGUCGAACGCAGUGGGGACGGGUGAGGAGCACGUGGGUAACCUCCCAUCAGAGGGGAUAACACGUGGAAACAGGUGCUAAACUGAUACGGCUUGAUGGAACCGGGGUGCAUUAGCUAGUUGGUGAGGUAACGGCUCACCAAGGCCACGAUGCAUAGACGACCUGAGAGGGUGAUCGGCCACACGGGGACUGAGACACGGCCCAGACUCCGACGGGAGGCAGCAGUAGGGAAUCUGCCGCAAUGGACGAAAGGCUGACCGAGCCACGCCGCGUGAGUGAAGAAGGGUUUCGGAUCGUAAAACUCUGUUGUUAGAGAAGCGGUAUCUAACCAGAAAGCCACGGCUAACUACGUGCCAGCAGCCGCGGUAAUUC